UCUCCCCACUGCCCGGCCGGCCCCCAUCCCGCCAGCCCUCCCCCGUCCCCAGCCGUUAACCCCCUCGUGCCGGGCAGCAGCACCUGCUCCCCCAGGUGCAGGUGGUUCAGGGGAGCGAGCCCCACCCCAGAGCUUUCUGUAGCGUCCAGGCUGGCCUGUGGCAUGGCUCUGGGGGCCAGUGGGUUGUCGCCGUGUCCCUGGCAGGGCUGGGGCAGGCAGGUGGGAGCAGGGAUGCCCCCUCAUGCGACCCUCGGAGGCCUGGGGCCCAUGGAGCCUGGGACCUGUGUGCUGUACUGGCUCCCACCCACUUGCCGCAGCCCGGGGGCCUGAUGGCCCUGCCCUGGGCAGAUAGCUGUGGUGGGGGUAAGGAGUGCCAUAUUCGCUCCUGCCCGCCUGCACCCCCAGCCCCGUGCUUUCCUAACAGAGUGAGGAGGGCUCUGCCGCUCUGGCUUCCAGACGCAGCCUUGGCCUCCCCAGUGACCUCAGCCACUGCCCCUCCCCCAGAGUCUCUUCUAGGAAUGCCUGGCAGGGCCACUGGCCACUUAGUGUUUGCUGUCCCCGUGCUGUGCCCCGGCCAAGAGUGAGGGCAGCCUGGCUCCGGGCGUGGCCUCUGGCGGCCCCUCGCUGCCCUCCAAGGCUCCGGCAAGGGCCCUGCUGCACCCUGUGGUCACCUGUCCCACGCAUGAGGCUGGAGCGGGUCCUGGUGCCUGGCCAGAGGUCACCACAGGUCGUUUUCAGCUCUUCUUCUGAGAAUUAUAGAUCCACGGGGGAAAGUCCACACCCUGGCGGCAGGGCCGUGUACACAGCAAAGUGCAGCCUCAGCAGGCCGGGCCUCCGGCUCGGGAGGGCCCCUCCCGGCGUGGGCGGAGACUGGGCUGCGGCCAGGACCUGCCCUCAGGACCCCCAGGUAGGCUGUGGGUCCCCCUCCGGACAGGGCCCUGUGGGGGGGCUCCCCAGACAAGCGUCUGGCAUCUCAGAGUGUGAUGCAGGGGGCUCUGGGUCUGGUCUCCUGUGGCGUGGCCCCCUUGGCUGCGAGGGUUGGGGCAAGGGUGUUGCGUGUAGGCGCGGGGCUGGUGCGGUUCCGGGAGGUUAUGGGGGGCUGUCCCAUCCCAGGACCCGAGGUGGAGGCAUGACAGCUUCGGUUCCUGGGGAGACAGCAGAUGUCCCAGCACGGGCCCUUGGUGCGUGUGGCCUGGUCGUGGUUCAGGCCGUGUGGGCGGCACCGUGUUCUCCGGUGUCCCCUGAGCGUCACAUUGAGCCGGCUUCCUCAAGCGCCAGCCGGAAGGACGGGCAGCGCCACGGUUUGCAGUUUCUUCCCUCGCCUUUGUCACACGCUACCUCCGGGUCCUGUGGGCACGGACGCCCCCUCCCGUCUGCGGCUCCGCGGGCUGUGUGGGCGACGACCUGCCUGGAUGGCUCCCCAGGGCGCUGGGCACACUCGGGGCCACUUGAGAGACUGCUGGGGAGUGUGGGCAGCAGCUGGGGCCAGCCCCGCGCCUGCCGAGGGCACCCCGGCCGUGCCGUGCCGUGCCGAGUGUGCACGUCUGGGACGACUGCUGGGCUCUUGCACCUGUGUUCCAGGUCCUUUCCUGGGGUUCCACAUUUUGCGUGACGGCACCGUGGAGGUGGCUGCGCCGGCCGGGCCUAAGCCAGGAGCCUCUGGUUCUCACGCGGGUGCAGGGACCCAAGCGCUGGAGCAGCGGGUUACGGACGUGCCCACCCGGAUGCCAGCGCUGCAGGCAGCCGCCCAACCAGGCAGAGUGGACAGUGAGAGAGAGACAGAAAGGUCUUCCUUUGCCGUUGGUUCACCCUCCAAUGGCCGCUGCGGCCGGCGCACUGCGCUGAUCCAAAGCCAGGAGCCAGGUGCCUCCUCCUGGUCUCCCAUGCGGGUGCAGGGCCCAAGCACUGGGGCCAUCCUCCACUGCACUCCCGGGCCACAGCAGAGAGCUGGCCUGGAAGAGGAGCAACCAGGACAGAAUUCGGCGCCCCGACCGGGACUAGAACCCCGGGGUGCCGGCGCCACUAGGUGGAGGAUUAGCCUGUUGAGCCACAGCACCGGCCCUCAUAAAAUUUUGAAAAGGCCAAAUUUUAACACAAAUACAACUCACAUACCAAAGAUGACAAACACUACGCCUACUUCAGCCUGAAGAUAGCAGAGAUGACAAAGCAGGUCCUGUGGGGGGCGUGCGGGGGGCCGAGCAGACCCAGAGCAGCUCCAGAGCAAGAGACCGGCACCGGGCCCCUGCCACCCCCAGGGGACUCCUGGCUUUGGCCUGGCUCCCCACCGCCCCACCACCACCACCUAGGGAUCGACCAGCAGAUGGAAGUGCCCCCCUCCCCGUAACUCAAAUAAAUACUUUUUUAAAAAGGUUAACCUACAGUGGGUAAAGCUGCCGCCUGCAGCGCCAGCAUCCCAUGUGGGCGCCAGUUAGAGUCCCGGCUGCUCCACUUCCCAUCCAGCUCUCUGCUGUGGCCUGGGAAAGCAGCAGAGGAUGGCCCGAGUCCUUGGGCCCUGCACCUGGCUUUCGGUCGGCGCAGUUCUGGUUGUUGCAGCCAUCUGCGGAGUGAACCAGCGGAUGGAGACCGACCUUCCUCUCUCUCCAUCUCUCCUUCUCCCUCUUUGUAACUCUGAACUUCAAAUAAAUAAAUCUUAAAAAAAAAAAGGUUAACUAUAAAACUUCAAGGAAAACACAGGAGAAAAUGUUUUUACCUUGGAUAAGCAAAGAUUUCACAGACCAUCUACAAAAAAACUAACAUACUUGACGUCUUCAAAAUUAGAAAUAUUUGGGGGCUGACACUGGCACCGCAGGCUCAGGCCUCCACACUGCAGCUCCACUUCCGGCCCAGCUCCCAGGGAACACCCCCGGGAGGCAGCACACGAUGGCCCACGUGGCUGGGCCCCUGCCACCCGUGUGGGAGGCCAGGAUGGAGCUCCUGGACCCCACUAGGCCCUGGCCCAGCCUUUGUGGGCAUCUGCACAGGAUGUGGGGAGGCCCUCUCUCUCUGCCUCUCAAAUUUGUUGACAGGCAGAGUGGACAGUGAGAGAGACAGAGAGAAAGGUCUUCCUUUGCCAUUGGUUCACCCUCCAAUGGCCGCUGCGGCCGGCGCACCGCGCUGAUCCGAAGCCAGGAGCCAGGUGCUUCUCCUGGUCUCCCAUGGGGUGCAGGGCCCAAGCACUUGGGCCAUCCUCCACUGCCUUCCCGGGCCACAGCAGAGAGCUGGCCUGGAAGAGGGGCAACCGGGACAGGAUCCGGCGCCCCGACUGGGACUAGAACCCAGUGGAUUCUAGAGGAGGAUUAGACUAGUGAGCCGCAGCGCCAGCCUUCUGCCUCUCAAUUUUAAAAAUGUAUUUCUAAGAAAAUAACUACAAACCAACACUCCCAAUGAACAAACUAGAAACACAAUAUAUAAGAAGACUGCUACAUGAUGACUAAGGUUUAUCCAGAGAGCAAAGUCGAUUUCACAUUUAACACUGACCCAUGUAUUUGACGAACUCGACACCCACUCGCUGUAAACGCUCCGGAAUGCAGGAACAGGUGUGCCGCCUCCCCCUCACCUCUCCAGGCCCCUGCACCUGCGUGAGACCGGAAGAAGCUCCUGGCUCCUGGCUUCAGAUCGGCCCAGCUCUGGCCAUUGUGGCCAUCUGGGGAGCGAACCAGCAGAAGGAAGACCUCUCUCUCUGUCUCUACCUCUCUCUGCAACUCUGUCUCUCAAAUAAAUAAAAUCUUUAAAAAACAUUUUAAAAAGUGAUCCAACUACUGGGAGG